GCCUGGGUGGCUUAGUCGGUUAAGCGUCUGACUUCGGCUCAGGUCAUGAUCUCACAGUUCGUGAGAUGGAGCCCCACAUCAGGCU
rnacentral:tRNA from 1 species